UAGUUAGAACAAGAUCAGUCAGAAAAACUGUAAGAAAACAGUGUUGGCUAGACUGUCCUUUCUGCUGGAAUAGCCUCCACUGAAAAUAGUACUACUACUACUACUACUACUAGUACUAAAAAAACCCAAACCAACAAAACCCAAUACUUUAGAGGGCACUCAUUGAGAAGUUUGAUAGAUUUUUCUGAAGAAAUUGAAGUGUUCAAAGCUGGCUGGCCAACAGUGCACUCCAGCCAGGAAUAACAGAAUAGGACUCUGGCUCUUUUGUUGUUUUUUUGGAAGCGGGGCCAUGAUUAAGAGCAAUGGCUGGGGGCAUUCAUAUUGUGCCACUUGAACUGGAAUUCUUGGACCAGUGCAAGAUGAACUAAAGCAAAAUUAUUUGCCAAGAAUGUUUCCAUUAAUCAAGAACAAAAGCUGGAGGCUUGUGGCCAACUCACUAUCAGGUGGCGUUACUUCCAUCACGCGCCAGGCACUCACCGUACACCCAAGUCUUUGGGUUCUG
rnacentral:ncRNA from 1 species